GCAGUCGAGCGGGGGAGGUUGCUUCGGUAACUGACCUAGCGGCGGACGGGUGAGUAAUGCUUAGGAAUCUGCCUAUUAAUGGGGGACAACAUUUCGAAAGGGAUGCUAAUACCGCAUACGCCCUACGGGGGAAAGCAGGGGAUCUCUUGAGACCUUGCUUUAAUAUAUGACCCUAUCUCAUAUUAUCUAUUUGGUGGGGUAAGCGCCUACCAGGGACACUAUCUGUAGCGUGUCUGAGAAGAUUAUCCCCCACUCUGACACUGACACACGGCCCACACUCCUACGGGAGGCAACUGUGGAAAAUAUUGCACUGUGGGGGGAACUGUUAUCCACCCAUGCCGCGUGUGUGAAGAGCGCUUUAUUUUUGUAACGCUUUUUACGCGAAGAAGACGCUCUCUUGUUUAAUACCCAGAAUGAGUGGACUUUACUCACAGAAUACGCACCCGCUCUCUCUGUGCCCGCACCCGCUGUUAUACAGAGUGUGCGAGCGUUUCUCAUAUUUACUGCGUGUAACGUGUGCAUACGCGGUUUUUUAUCUCAUAUGUGAUCUCUCAGAUCUUAUCUUGAGAUUUGCAUUCUAUUCUGGAAAUCUAGUAUAUGGGAGAAGAUGGUAGAAUUCCGUGUGUAGCUGUGAUAUGCGUAGAUAUCUAGAAGAAUACAUAUGGCGAGCGCAGCUAUCUGGNCUUAUANUGACNNUGANGUUAGAAAGCCUGGGGAGCCAACCGGAUUUGAUUCCCUGGUUGUUCCUGCCGUUAAAGAUGUUUUAUUGCCGGUGGGGCCUUUGAGGGUUUAGUGGGGCAGGUAACGGGAUAAGUUGGCCGCCUGGGGAGUACGGUUGCCAGAAUUAAAAUUAAAUGAAUUGACGGGGGCCCGCACCAGCGGUGGAGCCUGUUGUUUAAUUUGGUGCAACGGGAAGAACCUUAACUGGUUUUGACAUUGUAAGAACUUUCCCGAGAUGGAUUGGUGCCUUUGGGAAAUUACCUACCGGUGGCGCCUGGGUGUUGUUAGGUUGUGUUGUGAGAUGGUGGGUUAAGUUCCGCAACGAGGGCCACCCUUUUCCUUAUUUGCCAGCCAGUUAAGCCGGGAACUUUAAGGAUACUGCCAGUGUCAAACUGGAGGAAGGCGGGGACGACGUCAAGUCAUCAUGGCCCUUACGACCAGGGCUACACACGUGCUACAAUGGUCGGUACAAAGGGUUGCUACCUAGCGAUAGGAUGCUAAUCUCAAAAAGCCGAUCGUAGUCCGGAUUGGAGUCUGCAACUCGACUCCAUGAAGUCGGAAUCGCUAGUAAUCGCGGAUCAGCAA
rnacentral:rRNA from 1 species